AUGUUGGGGGUAUGUCAUUAAAAACAAAGUCUCCCAACCCAGAAAACUUCUCCACAAAGGUAGUAGAGACAGAAAACAGUUUUAUUAGUGAAUAA